AAACUUUGCAAUGUGCGAAAGCACGACAAGGUUAAUCCGAGUGAUUCCUGCUAAAGGAAUCUUUUGUUUGUCAUAAAACCACUAAUGAAUAAGGGGUGGGCAAGUUCUGGUGUCAGCCGCCGCGGUAAAACCAGCACCUCAAGUGGUCAGGAUGAUUAUUGGGCCUAAAGCAUCCGUAGCCGGCUCUGUAAGUUUUCGGUUAAAUCCAUAUGCUCAACAUAUGGGCCGCCGGGAAUACUGCAUAGCUAGGGAGUGGGAGAGGUAGACGGUACUCCGUAGGAAGGGGUAAAAUCCUUUGAUCUAUGGAUGACCACCUGUGGCGAAGGCGGUCUACCAGAACACGUUCGACGGUGAGGGAUGAAAGCUGGGGGAGCAAACCGG
rnacentral:rRNA from 1 species